AGAGUGCCAAUUAAGCUUGCCUUUUACAAUUUCACCUGCUUAUUGGCUGUUCUGAACGUGGGAUAUCGUGAAGCGACCUUCAGGGAAAUUAUAUAUAUCUUAUACGAAGGAACAGGGCAAGCAAAUUAAUAAAUGAAUGUGAAAAAAUAAACUGGAGUUAAUUAUCGUAUACGGUCGGUGAAUGGAUGAAUAGAUAUAUAGAGGUAGAUAGAUAGUUAUAUUGAUAGAUAGAUAGAUAGGUAAGUAGGUGAUAGGUAUAGUAGGUAAGUAGGUAGGUGGAUGGGAGUGCCUGUCCGUUUGUUAGCGAGUCAAACGCCCCAGCGGUCCACGCAUAUCUCCCAUACCCCCAUGCUUGAGGUCCAGUUAUGAAUCGCGUUAACAUGAUGCAAAAACUGAUAACAACCACGCAGGACAGCGCGCAUUAUAUUUAUUAUUAUCUCACUAUAUAAUUUUAAUAAUUCUGCCAUAUUGAAUUGCUUCCACAUUUUCUCUUCUAAAUACUUUGUCUCUCUUUAUCCUUUUUAUUAUGUAGAAAAAAAAGAAGAAAAAAUCAAACAAAAGAAACAGCAAAAUAA